CUGUUCUCUCUCCACCACUGUGAGCUGAACUCCAUGGUCGAGGUGCUUUGGGUGCCAGAAAAGGCAGCUGUGUUUUGACACCCAGGGGGAGAAGGUGGUACUAACACCAUGUCCCGCCCAUCAGCCGCCCCACAGCAAACCACAGUAGAGGGUCAUCAAGAUUUUUCUUCAGCUGAGUGGCCAGAUUGUUCACCUGCAGACCCAGAGAUGUCUGGAAGCUGUGAAGGAGGAGGACACGGAAGGUCACCAGAGAUGGGCCAACGCUACCCAUGUGGCAUCAGAAUCUUGCCUCUGUCGAUACCUGUAUUUAGAUGUGUUUCUGUUAAGGAUAUAAUGCAAGUGCUAUGGUGUGGAAAUAAUUUACCCAUACAUUACAGAGGAAAUAAAUUAUGAUUUUGUA